rnacentral:lncRNA from 1 species
GAAUAAAUGGUAGCUCAAAUUGAAAGUAUUCUUAGAAAUCUGAUUGCCUUCUUUGAAAUUAUAUUAAAAUAACAAAUGAUUCCUCUCGAUUCACGUUUCUCUACAGAAUCACAACUGGCGGUGCCUACAAGGUAAAGAAGAAAAAAGAGAAGCCAGGUGCAGAGUGUGUCUUACUUAGAAGAAUCCUUGCAGGAGAAAUUACCUUUGACUUUGAGAAAGCAAAGAAGCCAUAUAAAGCCAUGUAAAGGUCGUUACAUGAUCUUAAAUA